GGCUAACGCUGGCGGCGUGCCUAACACAUGCAAGUCGAGCGAGAAACUCAAGAAUGAAACUUCGGUAGAUUUCAUGAGCGGAAAGCGGCGGACGGGUGAGUAACGCGUAGGCAACCUGCCCUUUGCAGAGGGAUAGCCUCGGGAAACCGGGAUUAAAACCUCAUAAUGCACAGUUUUGACAUCAUAGCUGUGCCAAAGAUUUAUCGGCAAAGGAUGGGCCUGCGUCUGAUUAGUUAGUUGGUGGGGUAACGGCCUACCAAGGCAGUGAUCAGUAGCCGACCUGAGAGGGUGAUCGGCCACAUUGGAACUGAGACACGGUCCAAACUCCUACGGGAGGCAGCAGUGGAGAAUCUUGCACAAUGGGGGAAACCCUGAUGCAGCAACGCCGCGUGAAGGAAGAAGGCCCUUGGGUCGUAACUUCUUUUCUAAGGGAAGAUAAUGACGGUACCUUAGGAACAAGUCCCGGCUAACUACGUG
rnacentral:rRNA from 1 species